rnacentral:rRNA from 1 species
AACGAACGCUGGCGGCAUGCCUAACACAUGCAAGUCGAACGAGACCUUCGGGUCUAGUGGCGCACGGGUGCGUAACGCGUGGGAAUCUGCCCUUGGGUUCGGAAUAACAGUUGGAAACGACUGCUAAUACCGGAUGAUGACGUAAGUCCAAAGAUUUAUCGCCCAAGGAUGAGCCCGCGUAGGAUUAGCUAGUUGGUGAGGUAAAGGCUCACCAAGGCGACGAUCCUUAGCUGGUCUGAGAGGAUGAUCAGCCACACUGGGACUGAGACACGGCCCAGACUCCUACGGGAGGCAGCAGUGGGGAAUAUUGGACAAUGGGCGAAAGCCUGAUCCAGCAAUGCCGCGUGAGUGAUGAAGGCCUUAGGGUUGUAAAGCUCUUUUACCCGGGAUGAUAAUGACAGUACCGGGAGAAUAAGUCCCGGCUAACUCCGUGCCAGCAGCCGCGGUAAU